rnacentral:rRNA from 1 species
AUUGAACGCUGGCGGCAGGCCUAACACAUGCAAGUCGAACGAGUGGCGGACGGGUGAGUAAUGUCUGGGAAACUGCCUGAUGGAGGGGGAUAACUACUGGAAACGUUAGCUAAUACCGCAUACCAUCAGAUGUGCCCAGAUGGGAUUUGCUUGUUGGUGGGGUAACGGCGCACCAAGGCGACGAUCCCUAGCUGGUCUGAGAGGGUGACCGGCCACACUGGAACGAGGACACGGUCAAGAAUCCUAGGGGGGGCAGCAGUGGGGAAUAUUGCACAAUGGGCGCAAGCCUGAUGCGGCCAGGCCGCGUGUAUGAAGAAGGCGUUCGGGUUGUAAAGUACUUUCAGCGGGGAGACGUUACCCGAAGAAGAAGCAACGGCUAACUCCGUGCCAGCAGCCGCGGUAAUUC